rnacentral:rRNA from 1 species
UACGAAGGGGGCUAGCGUUGCUCGGAAUCACUGGGCGUAAAGGGUGUGUAGGCGGGUUAUUAAGUCAGAGGUGAAAUCCUGGAGCUCAACUCCAGAACUGCCUUUGAUACUGAUAGUCUUGAGUAUGGGAGAGGUGAGUGGAACUGCGAGUGUAGAGGUGAAAUUCGUAGAUAUUCGCAAGAACACCAGUGGCGAAGGCGGCUCACUGGCCCAUUACUGACGCUGAGGCACGAAAGCGUGGGGAGCAAACAGG